GCACAGGAUGAAGCCAGACAAGGCGAGGCAGGUGGGGCAGAAUGAAUGAGCUUUCUAGGGAGGGAGGUUGGGUGCAGGUAGAGCGAGGUAAAGCAGCUGGGGUGGUGAGCCAGCGAGGCACUGGCCUCCAGAGUCCGUGGCCAAGGAGGGCCUUGCGGGCGGCGACGGAGCAGUGAUCGGUGUCUCGGAGAGCUCGGACUGGAGACUAGGGUAAGUGUCUGUCCCACUAGUGGCCACCCAGUUUCCUCCCACUCAAGUCCACUUAACUCAUGUCUUCUUUUCUCCCCACAGCCAGGUCUCUAGCAGAAGUGGAUGUGCCUGCCAGUCACUGAAGGCGAGGAUGACAGGUGUGGUCAACGUGAUAGAAAGACAUGACAUGGUCCGGUGUGAUGGAGAGGACAGAAGGACAGUCAUCCAGCCUUCCUGGUGAGCAUACUCCCUGCCACAGGGCUAGCCCGCUCAACCACCUAAUUUGUCACCCACUCACUCCAGAUUCUGUCCUUUGCAGAACACCGUGGGCUGGUGCCGUGGGACACUGCCGUAGAAGCCGUCUGUUCUUUCCUUUGCCCAAAGAGCUAACACAUCUCUGCUGCUCUCUGGAUCCUCUUCCCCCUACCUUGAACCCUCAAGAUGAAAGGUGAGGACUCUUCUGCCCCACAUGGGUGGGGCAUGGCAGGCUGCCAAGUGCAGGGGUCUCAUUCUCUCCCACCCACAGAAAUGGUGCUACCCAGCUCAUGUCUGGGCCUUUGAAUCCGGGGACUUCUUUAAGUCCGUCUAGUUCUGAAUCAAGAAUAUGCUGCACUCAGAACCACUACACUACCUGCCUCAGGAAUCGGCUCGAAGGUGAGUCAGGGCGCCCUUUGGCAGCUCGGCAAGCCUACUCUCCCCUCCCAACAUCCCCCUCAGCCCCCUCCCCCUCCCAGCCCCCCUCAUUUGUCUUUUUUCUCUUUGCAGGUAAAGCUGAAGGAACAGACGGUGACAACAUCUUGAAAGAGCAGACCCACACAGCACCCACCCACCCCUGAGACUCCAUCUUCAUGGCCAACUAACUCUGCCUGGCCCGGGAGACCACCACCCACAUCAUCCUGGAGCCAAGCCUCUAGCCCGGGAUGACUUCAUCAUCUCCCUCCUGUCUUUUUUCUUCUUCCUCCUUUCCUGUAACUCUAUAUUUCUUUCCUUUUGUUCCUUCUCUGCUUGAGAGACUCAAAGCAUCCGUGACUCUGCUCCCCCACUCACCCCUUUUGAAUUUGCACUAAGUCGAUUGCACUGGUUUGGAGUCCCGGAGAUAGCCUGAGUCUCUCCGUAUGGAUGUAUACAGCGAGUGUGUAGGCCCCUUUGGCUAUGCUGCCCCAGUGCCCGCCCGUCAUCCACUUCUGUCUGAGGGCAACUGGGUGUGGCCGUGCGCUUGAGGCCUCACCUUCCCCUUGCCUAGUCUGGAAGCAGUUCCAUCAUAAAGUGUUCAACGCACCUUCCUUCAUCCUUUGUCCCUCCUCACCAGGGCCUCACCAGAGGUCCUGGGUCCACCAAUAAAUACAGUUACAGUC
rnacentral:lncRNA from 1 species